rnacentral:rRNA from 1 species
UACGAAGGGGGCUAGCGUUGCUCGGAAUCACUGGGCGUAAAGGGUGCGUAGGCGGGUCUUUAAGUCAGGGGUGAAAUCCUGGAGCUCAACUCCAGAACUGCCUUUGAUACUGAAGAUCUUGAGUUCGGGAGAGGUGAGUGGAACUGCGAGUGUAGAGGUGAAAUUCGUAGAUAUCAGGAGGAACACCGGUGGCGAAGGCGGCUACCUGGACAGAAACUGACGCUGAGGCGCGAAAGCUAGGGGAGCAAACAGG